CCCUUAGAUGUUCUGGGCCGCACGCGUGCUACACUGAGUAAAUCAAUGGGUAAGGGAACACGAAAGUGCAACCUAAUCUUCAAAUUUGCUCGUGAUGGGGAUCGACGGUUGCAAUUUUCCGUCGUGAACGAGGAAUACCUUGUAGGCGCGUGUCAUCAUCACGCGCCGAAUACGUCCCUGCCCUUUGUACACACCGCCCGUCGCUCCUACCGAUUUCGAGUGGUCCGGUGAAUCUUUCGGACUGCGCGCGGCCUUGAGUCGUGUCGCGGAAAGUCAGGUAAACCUUAUCACUUAGAGGAAGGAGAAGUCGUAACA
rnacentral:rRNA from 1 species